UUUUGGGCAAUGGGCGAAAGCCUGACCCAGCAACGCCGCGUGAAGGAUGAAAUCCUUCGGGAUGUAAACUUCGCAAGAACGGGAAGAAUAAGUAAGAGUUAAUAUCUCUUACGAUGACGGUACUGUUUGUAAGCUCCGGCUAACUACGUGCCAGCAGCCGCGGUAAGACAGAGGUCCCGAGCGUUAGGCGGAAUCACUGGGCUUAAAGCGUGUGUAGGCGGAUGCCUAAGUACCUUGUGAAAUCCCACGGCUCACCCGUGGAACUGCUUGGUAUACUGGGUGUCUUGAGCCACUUAGGGGCUACCGGAACAAAUGGUGGAGCGGUGAAAUGCGUAGAUAUCAUUUGGAACGCCAAUGGUGAAAACAGGUAGCUGGGAGUGUGCUGACGCUGAGACACGAAAGCCAGGGGAGCAAAC
rnacentral:rRNA from 1 species